UUUGAUUAAAUAAAUUUUAAAAUUUAGUUUUUUUUUUAAAAAAAUUAUUUUUAUUUAAAGUUUUAAAAAUAUUUUAAUGUUUUAGUAAUUAAUUAUAAAUUAAUUAUAUUUUUAAUAGAUUUAGUAAUGAAAAUGAAUUUUAUAAAAAAUUAAUAAGUAAAAAUUAUUUUGUACCUUUUGUAUCAGGGUUAAUUAAUAUAAUUUAAUAAUUUAAUAAUCUCGAAAAAAAAAGAGCUAAAUAUAUAAAUAUUUUAUUAUUACAUAAAUAAUUAUAAUAUAUAUUUAGAAAUUAAAUGUUAUUCGAAUUUUUUUAUAUCUAGUUUUUUUUGAAAUAAAUUUAAUUUAUAUAUAAAUAAUUUUAAAAAAUUUAUUUAUUAAUUUUUUAAAUAUUUAUAUAAAAAAUUUAAGGGAUAAACUAUAAAUUUAAUAUAUAAUUAUUUUUAAUUUUUAUAAUAAUAUAGAUUUAAAAAUAAUUCUUAUUUAAAAAUAUUUAAUAAUUUAAUUUAUUUAAUUAAAAAUUUAUUUUAUUAUUUAAUUAAUAAUAUAUAUUUAUUAAAAAAAAAUAAUUUUUAAUUUAUUUAAAUUAAUUAUAAUGAUUAAAUUAGUAAUAUUUUUUGUAUAAAUUAUAAAGUUUUUAAUAUAUAUAUAUAAGGAAUUAGGCAAAUUAAAUAUAUUCACCUGUUUAUCAAAAACAUGUCUUAUUGAAAUUAUAAUUUUAAGUCAAUCUGCCCAAUGAUUUUAAAUUAAAUGGCUGCAGUAUAAUUAACUGUACAAAGGUAGCAUAAUCAAUUGUUUUUUAAUUAAAAACUAGAAUGAAAGAAUUAAUGAGAUAUAUACUGUCUCAUAUAUAUUUAAUAAAUUUAAAUUUUUAGUAAAAAUGCUUAAAUUAUUUUAUGGGACGAUAAGACCCUAUAGAAUUUUAUAUUAAUAUUUAAUUAAUUAUUUAAUUAUAAUAUUAAUAUUUAAUUGGGAGGAUUAAUAAAUUUAAUAAACUUUAUUUUUAAAGUAAACUUUAAUUUUAGAAUACAUGAUUUUGAUCUUAUAUUAUAAAUUAAAAAAAUAAAUUACCUUAGGGAUAACAGCGUAAUAUCUUUUUAAAGAUCAUAUUAAUAAAGAUGUUUGCGACCUCGAUGUUGAAUUAAGAUAUAUUUUAGGUGAAGAAAUCUAAAUAUUAAGUCUGUUCGACUUUUUAAAUCUUACAUGAUUUGAGUUCAAAUCGACGUGAGUCAGAUUGGUUUCUAUCUAUAAAUAUAAAUAAAUUAUUUGUACGAAAGGACUAUAAUUUAUAAUUAAAUUAUAUUAAAUUAAUA
rnacentral:rRNA from 1 species